UACGUAGGUGGCAAGCGUUGUCCGGGUUUACUGGGCGUAAAGAGCGCGCAGGCGGUCGUUCAAGUCGAGUGUGAAAGCCCCCGGCUCAACUGGGGAGGGUCACUCGAUACUGAUCGACUCGAAGGCAGAAGAGGGAAGCGGAAUUCCCGGUGUAGCGGUGGAAUGCGCAGAUAUCAGGAGGAACACCAAUAGCGAAGGCAGCUCGCUGGGACGUUACUGACACUGAGGCGCGAAAGCGUGGGGAGCGAACAGG
rnacentral:rRNA from 1 species